UAGGGAUAAUUAAUCAUUGUAAUACAUUGCAUACAAGAGCAAGAAUUAUCAUUGCAAUGCAUUGUAUUCAACGAGGAAGCAAGACCCGUUGGAAAAGCUCAUCAUGUCAAAUUUAAUUAUGGGUGUGCAGAUAAAAAUCAAGGUGCUUCAUAUGAUUGCCAAUUUGGGUCAGCUGUUCUUUGUACCCACCACAGAAAAGGUACUUCGACGGAAGGGUGGCAGUGGGGGGUUGAGGAAAUAUAUGAAACUGAUCGACAUUCUCUUAAUUUUCCCCUUCACGCUCUCGAUCCCUGCAUCCCUCGCCCUGUGAGAUCUCUUAUGAAUUAUCGAUGUGCUCUAAAACGCUCUAUCUCUCUUUGAAUCUCUGAUUGUUUACGUGUCAGCCAGAGUUCAUAUAAAUUAAGAGGGAUAGUUUUAUCUUGAUGCAAUGUCGUUGGAGCUUCCAUGCCUAAACACCUCCGCUGCCGCCUAUGCCUGAUUUGCAUUCCCAAGAAGUGUGAUCAGAUUGCGCACAUCGGGUCUCCAUCAUCAUGAGCUUAGAAAUUUGCAGAGUUAUUUUCCACGCCUGUCGUACCAGCAAGCUAGAAACAAAGUGAGCAAAAGGCCAAAAUGCCACGAUAAACUCAUAAAAAUACUAUGAAGGGUACGGUGGUCCUCGAAAGAGGAAGAUUAUUAAUCCCAAAUUCCAUUACUAAAUGUUGAGUGCAAGGGGACCACGUUUUACUUCCUGUUUUGAAGAGACAAUAACCCAUUUCCAAGCUAUGGUCCCUCGCCCCUUUUUGGAGCCUGUCUGUAUGAACUCUGCAUUCAAACAUUCUCAUCGUGCAAAUGGACGAUCUGCAGGUUUACCGACCUUCUGCAUUGGUCUUCCUCAUUCUGUUUAAAGGCCUUGAGUUCCACUGAUAUUACAUGGCCUCGGGCUGUACCAUAUAACGGAGGUCUCUGUUGAAAGCUGUUUUUGGUGGACUCGAGCCAAUCCUGGACAGCAUCAUGAGAACUAUGCAUGGAAAGAAUUUGCUAUUUUCAGGUUUGUGUAUUUGGGAUUUCGAGACUUGUGGGGGAAUUCUGGUAUGCGGCUUAGAUGAUCCUCUGCCUUUAUCACAUAAGACAAAAUGAGCUGUUGAAUAAUUGCAUAAAGUGGAGGAGAUGGGUAAACAAAAAGGCAAGAACUUUACCCGGAAUGGUGGGUUUUCCUCACCGUUCAUACCCAUGCAGAAAUUUUUAGUGGGGCAUGGUGGAGUCGCUCUGGAUUUUCGGUGGCCAUUUUUUUAAAAAUAUAUAUAUAUUGUCACAGAGCAGGGUUAACUAUAUUUUAUUUGCUAAUAUAUUCAUACAAAUAUAAUUAUUAUAUUAAUAUAUGAAACAUAAUCAAUUACCCUGUUUA